ACUUUUCAGACUCACUUGCCAGAGCUAGUCAAACAGACCCAGGCACUCAGCAAGGCUGCUUGUGAAGAAAGAAGGCCACCAUGUAUUCAGCAAAGGGAGAAUGGAGGAUAGCCGCAAAACAACUAGUUUCUUUAUUACAAAUUAGAUACUGUUUCCUUUUCCUUUUUUCCUGCAUACUUCUGCAGUUUUCCACUCCAUGGAAGUAUCUCCUCUUGCAACACACAGUGAGUAGAAUGUUACAACAUGGGGCUUGCAGAAGAAGGUUGCUGGAGACACAUCUUUGAGAGUCCAGAAAGCCAUGGAGCGGAUGAUAUCUAAACCUGGAUCCAAUAAAACCCACCUCCAUACCUCUGACUGUCUCGGACAUUUUUAUAGCAGGAGCACGAAGCAGACUGACCCACACAUCUCCUGUCAUCCGUGCUACGGUACAGUACUGUGUGCCACGGAUGAUAUGCACGUGGAGCUGGAGGACAACUUUGUGGAGUUAGUUAUCUCCUUCCACCAUUGUGUUCUGAGAAACAACUUUAGAUCACCAGGCUUCUACAAUGCGCACCUUUACCUGUGGAAUUAGCUUUUGUCUGUGAUGGGAAGCCAGCCUUCAGCUUAACUCUUU